rnacentral:rRNA from 1 species
CCUACGGGGGGCAGCAGUGAGGAAUAUUGGUCAAUGGACGAGAGUCUGAACCAGCCAAGUAGCGUGAAGGAUGACUGCCCCAUGGGUUGUAAACUUCUUUUAUAUGGGAAUAAAACGUUCCACGUGUGGGAUUUUGUAUGUACCAUAUGAAUAAGGAUCGGCUAACUCCGGGCCAGCAGCCGCGGUAAUACGGAGGAUCCGAGCGUUAUCCGGAUUUAUUGGGGUUAAAGGGAGCGUAGGUGGAUUGUUAAGUCAGUUGUGAAAGUUUGCGGCUCAACCGUAAAAUUGCAGUUGAAACUGGCAGUCUUGAGUACAGUAGAGGUGGGCGGAAUUCGUGGUGUAGCGGUGAAAUGCUUAGAUAUCACGAAGAACUCCGAUUGCGAAGGCAGUUCACUGGACUGCAACUGACACUGAGGCUCGAAAGUGUGGGUAUCAAACAGGAUUAGAUACCCCAGUAGUC